ensembl:snoRNA LOC120101313 small nucleolar RNA SNORA17
UCCCCUACAGGUGUUGUAGGUGCGGCUGCCAUGUCAGGCACAUUAGUAGGUGACAGAGAGGAGAGAGGUUAGGUCUGCACUCAGUGUUCAGACCUGUGAACACCUGAAAGAUUAAUAGUCUAACAUU